rnacentral:rRNA from 1 species
UACGAGGGAGCGUAAGCGUUACUCGGAAUUACUGGGCGUAAAGGGCGCGUAGGCGGGUCGUUAAGUUGGGGGUGAAAGCCCAGGGCUCAACCCUGGAAUUGCCUUCAAUACUGGCGACCUUGAGUAUGGCAGAGGUGUGUGGAACUCCGAGUGUAGAGGUGAAAUUCGUAGAUAUUCGCAAGAACACCGGUGGCGAAGGCGGCCAACUGGACCAUUACUGACGCUGAGGCGCGAAAGCGUGGGGAGCAAACAGG